UACGUAGGGUGCGAGCGUUAAUCGGAAUUACUGGGCGUAAAGCGUGCGCAGGCGGCGCGUUAAGACAGGUGUGAAAGCCCCGAGCUUAACUUGGGAAUUGCGCUUGUGACUGGCGUGCUGGAGUGUGGCAGAGGGAGGUGGAAUUCCACGUGUAGCAGUGAAAUGCGUAGAGAUGUGGAGGAACACCGAUAGCGAAGGCAGCCUCCUGGGCCAGCACUGACGCUCAUGCACGAAAGCGUGGGGAGCAAACAGG
rnacentral:rRNA from 1 species